ensembl:lncRNA
CGCUCUCUCCUUUGGAUGACUGAUGAGAAUCUCAAGCCCCACAUGUCCAAGACGGAAAUCUGCCAAAGGUGGUGGAAUCAGCCUUGACGUAAAUCCCAUUAACCCAAUUUCAGAAUACGCCCCCGAUCAGCACUUCUCACCAGCACCCCCUGAUCGAAGUCACUGUCUCUCGCCUGGACUCUUGCAAUAGCCUCUUAGCCGGUCUCCAGGGUCCCAUCCUCGCCCCGGCUUCCCUGGCCCCCACUGCCUUGUCUCCACACAGCAGCAGAGCCAUCCUAUUAGGACAAAUAGAACAGGUCGGUUUCUGAUCAAAGCUCAUCGAUUUCUCUCCAUCUGAAGUGCUGACCAGCCUGCAAGGCCAUCCACGGCCUGCCCCCACCCCCACCUCUCCAGCUUAUCUGCACUUCUCUCUCCUCCACUUCCCAGGCGAGCAUGCUCCUCCCCCAGGGCCUUUGCACAUGCUGUCUGAGGCUCUCUUUCCUGGGCUUGCUCCCCACUCCUUCUGGAUCUCCACUUUCACGCCACAUCCCAUCAGUGACAUCUUUCAUCAGAGCCCUCGUCCUUCCUGCUCGUUCUGCGUAGCCUGUCACCACCUGACAUCACUAGUGAUUUGUGUGUCUUCAUUUACACGCUGCGUGUUUAUUCAUGUCACUCUAUUUUCAGCCAACUCAGAGGGAGACCUUGUGUGUCUGUGCCCUGCUCUGAGCCGGGUGGGGCUGGAGACCCGCACUCCCCACUGUCCGUCCUGCAGAAGGAGACAGCUCGACGCCAGCAAGGCGCUCGCGAGAGACCAAGACAACACUUGUUGCUGCCCCGUAUCAGGGAGGAACGUGAGCUGACAGUCAUUAUCUUAUAUAACUGGGUGCCCUAGAAUUUUCAGAACAAUCACACUUUCCUUAACGGAAAAUAGAGCAAAGGCAGAGCUCCACGGAGCAGCCGCGGGUCACAUGCUGCCCGGCUGUGGGGGGCCGGCCGGCUCACGGUUCAGAUGCUCACACGCAGGUCGUAGGACCAGUCAUUGCAGGACUACAGGUCACAGGUAUGAAAAGGUGCUCGUCGACGGUCAACAGGACCCCUCAGCAGACUGAACCCGUGUCGACGAAGCGAAAAGCAGCCCCGAGGACGGCGCUGGCCUGAGACCAGGCUCCCCAGCGCGGGCGGAGUCUGCUCCUGGGCAGGGAACUGGCCGUGGCCCGCGGUGCGGUGCAGGUUCGAGUCUUCGGAAGAUUCCUGCGGACCCACGCUGUGAAUCUUGAGCACACGCGGGCUCAGCAGGGAGGACAUUCACGCUCCAGAGCCAGCAGCAGCCGCCAGAGGUCCUGGGCUGAUCCGGAACCUGCCUGGGGUGUGACUCCUGAGAGACAACGCGUUCAGCACGCCCCUCCAGCUCCUGACACAGCCCAAAGCCCGCACCACAGAGGCCGGUGUCCUGCUGCCCCCACGGGACCAGGCUCCCCUUCCCCACCCCGAGACUUGCAGGAAGUCCUUUGUCGACUUCUUCCGAGUCUCCUGGGAACAAGAGAAAACGCAACGUUUCAGCGAUUUGAAGACAGAGGCUCCACCGCGAGCCCGGGUUCUAGAGGAUCCAGCUCUAAACCCACGGAGACGAUGAACUCAAGUCCCGGGACCGAGACAGCAUCUCGGCUCAUUCUGGGCACUGGGGGGUGGUGGGUGCAGCCUCUCUGCAGACCCCCGGCCUCUCUCUGUGGGCCCUGGGGGCUCGGGGGCUCCUCUUGGCCCCGAGGGGUGACAGCGUGGAGCAGGGUGGCGGGGUGUGUGUCAGGGGGAGAAAAGAGAUGCUGACGCUGAAUCCUCCUGGGCAGGAAAAGCAACCUGGGGAGAUGCCAAGGCCUUUCCAGGGGGAACUCCUGCAUCUCCCAGAGGUGCGGGGGCCGUGCCCUGCUCACCUCUCCAGGGACUUGGGAAGGACGGCCUGUGUCCCACCGACACAGCCCCCAAGGGCACUGGGGCCUCCCUGGUCUGCUCAGCCCCUGUGCAGGGGGCCAGGGGCAGCUCAGGGGAGGGGACGUUCCCGGCACACACCAGAUAUCCAGUCAGUGGGGCCACACUGGCUUCGGUCAGCACCGGCCGUGCGAGGCCCCCAGAGCCCGGGGACGGCUCCCCACAGCAGCGCCAGGCAGAGAAUGCCCAAAAAAGACCAGCAAAGCCAUUAGGCCUGAAGCACCUUCCAGCUUUCCAAAAAAAAAAAAAAAAAAAAAGGCAGGAACUUUUUCUCCAGGCCAAGGAGAGAUUCGCUCAGGACAAAUGCAGGGCGACGAUCAUUUAUCAUCAGGAGCCUGGAGGGUGCAGGCAGCCCCGUCCCGGCCGCUCGCCUCAAGGUCGGAAGCUUCUGCUUUCCCUCAUUAUUUCUAUUUUUAACAAUUGCGUUCAGUCCUCUUACAAAAAUAGCGAGAGGUGAGAACAUUUCAAGCGCUAACAUGCCCCCUUUGUCAGAAAACUGCAGGGAUGCGGGAAAAACCGGCCAGGACACGGGGGCCGUGGUCGAGUCCUCCACCACCAGAGCCGAAAUGCCCUGUGAUGCUCUGAUCCACCGUCACUGCACAAGGGGUAAACUGAGGCCAGCAGGGUAGGCACACACCCCAGGGCAUUCAGGGAGUGAGGCCCAGGGCAGCGGGUACUGUACUUCUGAAAUGCAGGCCCAGGUGGCCGCAGGGAGCCCGGGUCCUGGGGCCAGAUGAGCAGGGAGCAGGGAGCAGGGGCUGCCCCCACAGCCCCUCAACUCCCCUGCCCUGAAUCAUAAACAAGGCGCCAUCCCUGAGAGCUUGGGGGCCCGACACUGGGCACCGUCCUCACACGGAAGUUAGGACGAGCUCCUGGGGAGACAGCUGAGAAGUGUGUGCAUGUGUCCAUGUGUCCAUACACACGUGUGCUGUGUGAAUGGUGCAUGCCACGCAUGUAUGUGCUCACUCGUGCACACGUGUGUGCGUGUGUUUGAGUGCACGCAUGCACGUGUGUGUCAGGAUGUGUCUGCAGGUGCACAGCCACCCCCUCCGGGCCUGGGCGUCUCUGCAAACUCUGGACGCCCCAGCAGCCCCUGUCCUUCCCCACCUGCAGGCUGCGCAUCAGCCCUGAUUCAGGAUUCUGAGUGGACCUCGGGGCCGGGGGCCGGCUCAGCCCCACCUGACAGUGAGCAUAGUCAGUCGGGCCUGUGCGUCUGGAAAGUUGAACUCUUCCUGCCGCCCCCUGCGUCCACACUCUGCUCCUCUUUCCCACGUCCACCUAAAAUGCACGGUCCAGCUCCAGGCCAGAGCCAGGAUGCUGGGCCUCGUAAAAGAGACAGGAGGAGACGCAGCCAUGAGGCGGCCGCGUGGCAGCCCUGCCACCCCAGACCAAGUGACGCCAACGCCCCGGCUACAUGGUGGUGACCAGGCACCGGGCACGCACCUCGAGCGAAUUCUAAAAUGUUCCAGAAGCCAGGGACGGCCUGUGUCAGUUCCCCGUCGCUGCCGCACCGGUGGCCCCAGGAUCCAGCGCUGGACACGGCAGCAUCGGCUUCUGCUUCCCGUGGGUCAGCUGCCUCCAGUCUAGCCAGUAGCCCAGCCUUGUCAAGUGGCCCACACCCUCUUCUGUCUGCUUCUUGCCAUCUGUCUCCCCCAAGGUCACUGUGAGACCAUGACAGCCUUUAGUCCUGGAAGGAGCACAUAAUGACUUUGAGGUGGUAUUUGUGCACCUAAAAAACAGUUGGAGAUUGCCAAAGUUUAAUUUUCAAAGAGGCAAAAUCAUCGCUCUCGAGCAAACAGGAAUGACCCCAUGUAAAGAUUCCAUUUAACUCAUUAGUCAAAGAGGAAACCAAAGAUGUUACAAUGUUUGUUGAGAGCAUGUAAGAAGGGAAAGGAUUUAUAGGCUAGUUAACAGAAAUGUUACAAGAUCACUGGGGACGCCACAGCCGGGUGAAAUCUGGGCGUCAUCUGCCCACCAGACAGAAAUGGCUGCGUCUCUACUAGACAAGUCUACAGGUUAGCAGGUGACGUCCCUGAGUCCGGGGCCUUCAAUCAACGGUGGACAACGAGGUGAACUACGUGCGUCCCCUGGACUGGUCUGGGGCCCCAAGGUGCUCAACUUCUGGGCUUCUUCCCAAGUGUCAGCUGAUUUUUCUGACAAUAGUUAUAUAUUCAUUUUGAACAUGCACUAGGAGAGAUGAACUACUCAGACAUCAAGUCCACGGCUGAAGGCUUCCUGUGGAACGCACUUAUCUAAGUAAAGCAUCAGUCACUUUAAAGGAAGAUAUUUCAGAGAAGUCACUGUAUAGAGUCUGCACAGAAGUGGGAAAAGAUGAAGGUGGUAAGAGGAUGACGAUUCCCAGGCAUUCUCCUCGCGGGGCGCACAGGUGCACAGCAAGGUGGGGGAGCCCGCCCUGCGUCGUUGGUCCCAGCUUCCCUGCCACCUGAUGCUCCUCGCAGGGAGGGCUCCCUUCCUGGCCCCUCUGUCGCAGCAUCAGCCCGUCCUGCGCCUACGAAAACCCACGUCCUCAGGCUCCCUCUGAUCCCAGCGCUGAGGACGUAACGUGGAGACAAAGGCUGGGACAGCAGGUGCGCCGUGAGGCAUGAGGGUACCGCUGAUGCAACGUCUUCCAGCGCCAGGAAGCCCUGGGAGCGCCACCAGCCCCUCCUCAGGCUGAGCCCAGGCUCUGGGACUCAGGGGACUGAAGUCGCUGCUCUGCCGCCCAGGCUGACUCAUCGUUUUUGGUGGACCUCCCAUCUCUGCCACCAACCUCCACGUUGGGUGCUGCGCUUUUGCAUUUUAUUCUCUGAGGUGACUGGGGGUCCGGGGGCUCCCUGAGGCCUGUCCCCACCUCCAGAACCAGCUGCAUAAUCCCAAGGCUCUGCCUCCUGAGGUGCGAAGCCAGGACCGGCCCGGGGCCUCUCGGGGCCCAAACCCGGCUCCCCAGCUCAGACAACUUCCACCCUGAGCCCUGGAGCACCUUUUUCUCUCUCGAUAGUUUUGGUCUAGAUUUCGAAUUUUUUAAGAUACAAAUGUGCAGCCCCCUGGCCCUUCCUGCGAGACGCAUCCCACAGCUCACUUGGCAGCACAAGGUGGAAGCCUAACAACACGGGACGAGGCCGUCUGCUCGAGCUGGAUCCCCCUGUGAAGACUCUGCUCGGCGCCGGCCCCAGGUCCACCUCCGGCAGGAGACAGCCUCUGGGUCCCCGUAGCCGAGGCCCCGCGGGCUUUGUGUGUGUUUACAGCAACGACACGGCCAUCACAGCCUCACUGAGGUGACCCUGCCUGUCCCUCCGCGGUGGCCUGCAGGGCAGCGAGCGGCACUGUUUAAGCUGACGGGCAGGUCUGCUCUCAGCCCUUCCACGUGUCUAACUCAGUGCUUGUCCUCGGGAAUUCUCGGUGCUGUGGUCAUCUGGGACACGUGGGGCCGGGCGCGAGGGCAUGUGCGGUGCCUCAGGGCUUCAGUUCCAUCUGGGAGGCAGAGGGACGGGGACGCGAGGCUGCGGGGGGCGGUGGACGUGGUCACUAUCCAGCAAGUGCCCACUCCUGCCCCGGCCUCCAGGAAGGGGCGGAUCUCCCGUGCGUUGGCGGGCAUGGUGUCGGCCAGCCUGCAACUGCUGAGGGGCUGACGUCUCCUCUUGAGCUUCUGCCACCACCCGGGCCCAGGAGAGCGAGAGGCGAGUGGAGCAGGCUGGGCCGAGCGGUGGCUGGACCCCGAGCGGAGAACGCUCGUGCUUGUUCACAGAACCCGCUGAACUCAUGCAACUGACAGGGCCCCCAAGACGAAGUCCCCCAGCCAGGCUAAGUGGAGUCCUGGACACCCCUCCUCCCACUCUGCCCCAACCACUGGUUCUCCCAGCCUCGCACCAGCCUCCCUGCCCGUGACCUCAGCUGUCCCUUCCUUGGCCCCCUGAUCUCUGCAUCAGUGCUGUCUGGCAUCUGCUCCCCUGGCCAGCCACUCGGGGGCUCAGGAGGCCUGCGUCCAGCCCCUCACAGGCCGCCCUGCAUGGAGGGGUGCUUGCUGGGCACGGCUGAGAGGAGGAAGGACGGGCGGUCCUCACGGACAGGGUCGGGGGCACUCCUGCAGUGCUUAACCCUCCACCUCUGAGCCUUAUGGACUCAUGAGCCAGGAUGCUGCUGCCCACCCACCACAGUCAGGGGAGGGGGCGGCCGGUCACAGAGACCCCACUGAUGGGACCCCCGUGGUCCUGCCUGUCGGGACUGGAAAGUCGGUCAAACUCUGCUGAGGUUCGCAGCAGCUGGGUUGGAAACGGGCGCCUCCGUGGAGAAGCUGCCAUGAAAACCGAGCAAAUUCACCCUGCAUGGCAUCCCGCCUCCACUUGGCACAGCCCCCGAGCUCUCUGAUGAGGGGACCCCACGCGGGCUGCGGGAGCUGUUUGUGCUGCACCGCAAGGCAGCUGGCCCGCGAGACGACACCUCUGCUCGGCAGAUUGUGGGAAGCUGGUGGUGCAAUGCGAUAGGAGGAUGAGGGUGCUUUGCGUCUGACUUCAAGAAGGAAGACUGGAGAUCGUUAGCUGCUGUCAAAACAGCUGUGUGUUUGCAGAUCGCACGGGAGCUUAGCUGUAAACAUUUUUGUGCCGAUUCAGCUCAUUGCUGUGCGGCCCAAGCUGAAGCCGUGGGUUUGACUCAACCUUUCCCAGGAUGCUGCCAGCAUUUCUGGUUCACGAAGUUUGUUCUGAGCACGACAGCUUGAGAACCGCUGGCUGGUCCUCUGGGCUGGAAGGCAUCUGCCGUGGCCCCGGAGAGUCACCUAGCCAACCCGCACGUGUGGACCGCUCAGCCAUGUCACACCCCAGGGGUGCUGACGUGAUCUCCCAGGCCUGGAGGAACCUGCUACGGGGGGCAGCCCUGGUAGCACCCAGCUCUGGGGAUGGGCAGCCCAUCUGGGGCAAAGGGCACAGCAGCGGCCAGAGAGGAGCCCGGAAGCUCGUCCUUCCUGCUGGCGCAUUCUCUGCUGCGAGAAGGUGGGUCAGGAGGAGGAGGGGGCAGGGCAGCCAUCAGAGGAGGCACACAGCUGCCCUCAUCCCCUCCAGCUCCUCAGAGAAGCAGAGUCUGUCCGGGGCAUGAGGGAGCUUGUCCCGUCACGGAUGAAGCUCGGGCGCCCGCCAUCUGCCAGGCUCCGGAGCUCAGACUUCCCCCACAGACCAACCUCACAGCUCGGAGAUGCUUGUCCUCGUACCAGGACAGGAGAGCAGCUUCCUCUAAGAAAAGCUACUAGGUAAACCCGUGAUUUUAACCACAAUGCUAGUUGAGAACCGAUUACUCAAUUUUCUGACAAGGAACCGUUGGCUCAGCCCAGCUUCACUUCGGCGGCCUGGCCCCUGGGGUCGCACCGUGAGUCAAGGACGACGUAGGACGAGGGCCCAUGCAUGCCGGGCAGCUCUUGAGUCUCCCUUAUGACAGUGUUUGCUGGAGCGCGUGCAAGCACCCUCGCAGAGGGACCCAGCCUCACAGAUGCGCCUGCGGGCGAAAGUCUGGGAGGGCAAGUUUGUUCCCUAAACCGGGAGAAACCUCCUUCCCAAAGGCCAAGACGGCUGCUGAUGAACCAGGUAUGGGGCGGCCCGAGCUGCCCAGGGAUGGCCAGGCCCCGAGCCAACGCCAGCAGGACCAGAGCGGCCGCCUGGGUCUCGUCCCAUCUCCCACAGAGUCGCUCUGCAGCACUGCUGGCAGCCCCGACCUUCAGCACUGCCCGUGCCACGUCUCUCCUGACCUUCCCUGAGGGCAAAUGCCAGCGUCUAGUGCAGCUGCCAAGAGAAACAGUGGCUGGGAGAGUGCCCUUGAAAACGCUUCAGUCAGGAACCAUCCAGACACCGUAAACACACACUUUACGUCGGGUUUAAUGAACGCCUCGCUGCCUUGAUAACUGUGAUUUCUUUAUCUCCCAGUAAACAGGCACCAGGGCUCUCAUUUCUAUUUCACAGAAUAAAAUGUUGCUCUGUAAACACUUGGGCAGCGGCCGCCCAGCACAGCCUCUCCCUGUGGGCCCCAGUGGGGGCGAGCACCCCUGUGGGAGGUCUCUGCCCCGAUCCCCAGAUGCCACCCCCAAGUCCAGUAGGGACCGAAACCGCCCAAGGAGCCUCUGGAAUUCAACUAAGCGUGAACGUGAGAGCUGAGAGGGACCGUGCCUGCUUUUCUCUGGCACCACCUGCUCAGGUCUGUGCAUCUGAGAAGUAGCCAGCGCUGUGGAGACCUGUGACUGUGACACAGGACACAUCCACCAGGGGCUGGGGGGGCUCGAGGGGGCGGACCAGGAAAGCCCCCGUUCCUAGAAAUGCAGGCUGUGCCCCUCACAUGCACAAACUCGUCAAACUCCCCGUGCAGAGCAGCGGCGGCUUUUGUCUGAAGCCUCAGAGGAGCCCUGCUGGGGGCGCUGCCUCUCCUCUCCCUGCGAUCAGGUCUGAUCGAAUGUGGUUGGGUGUGAUCUGGUGGGAUCGAGUGGGAUCUGGUAGGAGCAGAGGUGUGAUCCAGUGGGAUCGAGUGGGAUCUGGUGGGCACCUUCAUCGGAGCAGGCAUGGGACUGAGGUUGCCCAAUCAGAGCCCUGGGUAUCAGGACAGUAUGACUGAUCCAGGGUGAGCACAUGACCCCAGGGCCUUGGAACCAUCUCCCAGGCUGGUGUGAACACAAGUUUGGGGAGCAGAGAGAACAGCUCUGAGGGGACGGCAGCCUGGAGCCGGUGUUGCUGCAGAGCUGCUUGGGGCAAAGCAGCAGGAGGAGGAGCUGUGGAGACGGACGGAGGGAGAGCCAGUGGCACUGUCCGGAGCUCGAGAUCCAUCUGAUACAAUCCCACUCUAGGACGCUUUCAAGGACCUGAGCCCAUACAGCUGUGACGCUUCCAUUGCGUGGAUUUAGUUUGGCUUUGAUUCCAUCUCUUGGAACCACCAGAAUCUUAGUUCUGCACCACGUGAGAGAGACGUUCCUCCAGUAGGCGGUGCAGUGGACUGAGCGUUGUCCCCCCAGAUCCACGCGGUGAAUCCUGACCCCAGUGUGAUGGUAUCAAGGGAGAGAGGCCAUGGGGCAGAGCCUCACGAUGGGGUUAGUGCCCUGAUAAAGAGGCCCCGGGCUCCCGGCACCUUCGGCCACGUGAGGACACAGCGAGAAGAUGGCCGUCUGUGAACCAGGAAGCCGGCCCUCACCUGACCCUGGACCCCCGGAGCUGUGAGGAAUAAAUGCUGUUCUUCAUAAGCCCCCUGUCUGUGGUGCUUUUGUCACAGCCCCUGGAACAGACAAGACAGGCAGGCGAAGAGCCCCUCCGAGGACCCCGGCCGGGAACGGGUGCAGCCUCACUGACUCCAGCGACUUGCUCACAAUGAGACGCCUGCGGUUCUCAGUGCAUGAACAUGGGCUCCACUGAGGGGGCUUGCUGAAUGUGGACCACAGGCCCACCAGGGGUUCUGUUCAGUCAGGUCCGGUGGGUCCCAGGAAUCUGCAUUUCUCACAAACGUCCUUCUGAUCACAGCAGACCACAUCUUUAUGAAGAUGAAUCUACUGUGUGACGUCAGCCACUCUUGACCAUCCACGUGGAAUAUCUGUGCCUAAGAUUCCUGCCAAGAACCACGACCUCGAGCUUCUCCUCAAAUCCCCACUGACGAGGGAGGAGCCCAGGAGGAGCUCCGUCCCUCCAUCGGUGCCUCCACCAGCUCCAGGCAGAUCCGCGCAGGGCGGUGGUCUGACGUUGGUGUCCGCGCCCCUCCAGACCCCACGAGGGGCCGCACUAGGAGUAGCACCAGGGAGAGCAGGGGGUUGUCACCUCGUCCCUCGAGGCCUCUUGUAUGAAAAGCUCAGCUGACAGAGUUCAAACCCCAGGUGUCCUGUGCGUCUCACCUCACGCACGUGAGAAAUCUCAGACCCUCCACAGACUUGCGGCCGCUCUCGCGAGCGGACGGGGAUCCAGCAGCAGAACUUCAUUCUGAAGAUACUUCCCUGGCGGCAUUAUUUUUCUACUCCUGUUUUCUCCUCACUUUGUUCCCUCAAGUCUGUGUUUCCUCGUUUUACACCACAUGCGUCUCUGUAAGGGCCUUGCAUGGAGUCGGUUUGGAAUGAGCAGGGGUCUCAGAAACAGUCCAGUUUGGAUCCCGACCCAUAAAGAAGGAGUUCUUUAGACCCGAAAAGUUUGCUGAAGGGUAACUGUGGAGCCUCCUCAUCUCCAGACAGGACAGCGGUGCGUCCUCCUCGCUUCCUGACAGGAUGACUGUGAGGCCUCCUCACCUCCUGGAAGGAUGACCGUGUGGCCUCCUCACCUCCUGAGAAGACGACUGUGCGGCCUCCUCACCUCCUGGCAGGAUGACCGUGUGGCUUCCUCACCUCCUGACAAGACAACUGUGUGGCUUCCUCACCUCCUGGAAGGACGACCGUGUGGCCUCCUCACCUCCUGACAAGACAACUGUGUGGCUUCCUCACCUCCUGGAAGGACGACUGUGUGGCUUCCUCACCUCCUGACGAGACAACUGUGUGGCUUUCUCCCCUCCUGGCAGGAUGACCGUGUGGCCUCCUCACCUCCUGACAAGACAACUGUGUGGCUUUCUCACCUCCUGACAGUGUGACCGUGUGGCCUCCUCACCUCUUGACAAGAUGACUGUGCAGCCUCCUCACCUCCUGAUAGAGUGGCUGUGUGGCCUCCUCACCUCCUGACAAGACAACUGCGUGGCUUCCUCACCUCCUGACAAGAUGACUAUGCAGCCUCUUCACCUCCUGACAGGGUGGCUGUGUGGUGUCCUCACCUCCUGACAGGACAACUGGAGCCUCCUCACCUCCUGACAGUGUGACGGUGUGGCCUCCUCACCUCCUGACAAGAUGACUAUGCAGCCUCCUCACCUCCUGACAGGGUGACUGUGCAGCCUCCUCACCUCCUUACAGUGCAACUAUGGGGCUUCCUCACCUCCUGACAACUGUGCGGCUUCCUCGCCUCCUUUCAGGGUGACUAUGGGGCUUCCUCUUCCCCAUAAGUCAUGGGGAAUGAAUUCUCCCAGCCUUGCCUAGCAUGCACUAAUCAAGCAGCUCACUUCUUCCUAGGAAUCUUUCACUUGGAGGAAAAACCAGGAAGAAAAAAAGACGAAAUGGGAAGUACUUGUGAUGACUGUCCGUGGCCAAGCCCACGUCUAGGAAAACUCACUUCUUUCCUCACUCUCCCGCAUCACUUCUGGCAGCACAUGUCCGGGUUUUCCCGCACGAUCAAUUCUCCAGCACCUGCAGGGUGUCCUAGGAUUCGGUUCAGUUCUGACACUAUCCAGUGCAGUUGGCGUCAGAUCCCACAGGAUAAGGCUCAGCCCCACAGGACUGCCCCCACUUCAGACGCGAGUUGCAAGUCCCAGGUUGUCACCUGUGCUCCUGAUCAGCUACAAGACAGGGGGCUCAUGACCCCUCCUUGGGUUCAAUAGUUUGCUGGAUCGUCUCAGAACUCAGGGAAUUGACAUGUUUAUUGGUUUAUUACACAGUAAAGGAUGUGAUAAAGGUCUGAAGACGUGAUUAGGUCCAGAAGGGUCAGAACACAGGAGUUUCUGUCCCCUUGGUCUUGAGGGCACCACCCUCCCAGCAGGUGGAUGCGUUCCCCAGCCCGGAACCCUCCAGGCCCUGCACUGUCGGGGUUUUCGGGAGGCUUCAUCACAAAGGCAUGAUCAGUCAUUAACUCCACUUCCAGCCCCUCCCCCUCCCUGGGGAACAGGAGGUGAGGCUGCAAGUUCCAGCUGCUAAUCGAGGUGUGGUCUUUCUGGAGGCCAGUCCCUAUCCUGAAGCUCCAGGACCCACCAAGAGUCACUUCGUCAGAACAAAAGAUGCUCCUAUCGCCCAGGAUGUUACAAGGAGCUCUGGGUCGGGAACCGGGGUCAAGGUCCAAACAUUAGGACAGCAGAUGCUCCCGGCACCUUAUCACUCAGGAAAUUACAGAGGUUUAGGCGUCGUGGUCAGGAGCGGGGCAAAGACCGGAAUCCAUAUUUCUUAUUACAGACAGUCCCCGACUUAGGAUGGUCCGGCCUACGGUUUUCCGACCUUACGAUGAAGUGAAAGUGACACGCAUUCAGCAGACUGCUGGGUUUUGAAUCUUGAUCUUUUCCCCGGCUGGUGAUACGCAGUGAGUACAGCUCCCAGUCAGCCGGCGAUCAUGAGGGGGGACAACCGACACUCUUACAGCCACUUGGUUUUUCACUUUCAGUCCAGUGCUCCGUGAGGUACCUGACACAUUCAUUACAUCACAGAAAACAGGCUCCGUGCUGGGUGACUCUGCCCAAGUGCAGGUGUCUGAGCAUGUGAAGGAAGCUGCGCUGAGCUACGGCGUUCGGUAGCUGAGGGGCAUUGCGUGCGUUUCCAACUCAUCUUUUCAACUCACGAUGGGACGUAACCCCAUCGUAAGCCGAGGAGGUUCUGUGCCUCAUAUCACACCUCCUUUCCUCUUUAGUGGCAGUUCUCCUGACCUUUAGGUGGGCACACGGUCACCUGAAUUAUUGACAUAUUUCCCAGCCUCCCUUGCAGUCGGUGUAAGUGGGUGAUGAAGUUGGGGUGACGGAGCAGUCAGAUGUGAGGGCUGGAGCUCCAGCAGUCAUUUUGGAAGGGAGAAUGGAAGCCACGAGCAGCGGGAUGAAGCAUUCCUGGUCGCUGGUGCCACCCCCUCCCCCUGCAAACAUCAUGCGAGCUCCUAGGGCCAACCUCCGUGCUUCCUCUACGUAAAAGAAGACGCGCUCCGCCUUGUUUUAGCCACCAUUAUGCUGGUUUCUGUUGAUGCAGCUGAACCUAAUCAUAGAGAAUAACAAACAACACCACCACAUCUGUAACUGUUACAAGGCCGCCUCUGCUGCAGCAUCGCCCAGCCUGCGUCAGCAUCCUGUCACAUCCUGGUUCUCAUGGAGGCCUUCGGUCCCGUGCAGCUGUCUAAGAACCGCUGAUCACUCUGGCCCUGCUGGCGUGGGAUUCAGGGGGAGCUCCUACAUGUUCCAGGAAACCCCAGCACUGUCUUUGGUUCUGACUCGGUGUCCCCGGCUUUGUCCGCCUCUCACUCACGGCAAGUGUCCUCCCCUGCCUUUCUGACCUCGUUGGUUGUGGCAAAGUCCACUGAGUAGAUGGCUCAACAUCGGGCUGCUCUCCUGCUGGUGUCCGGUCAGCCCUGGGCUGUGCUCACCGGUAAGACCUCCUGGACCAGGGUUCUCUGCCCGCAGACCAAGCCCUCCAGCCACAGCCUGCCGGCUGCUUGUGUCCCUGAGACGUGAGCGGGAACAGAGCUGGUGCGCAGAGGUCUCCAGAGGAGCCUGGAGAGGGACACGUGCAGCUGCUGCCUGCCAGCAGGCCGAUUCUUCAUCUCAGGACAUGUGCCUCCCAGGGGGUGUCAUCGUCCCAGCCUUGGAGAUAGGGGAGGUGGCCUGUCUGAGGUCACGCAGUGGGUGCCUGGCGAGCCUGCCAGUCCCAGGCCUGCUCUCCUGCAGCGGCUCCGUGUGCACGGGCUGUGGACAAGACCGUGGCACAGGUCACGCUGAGCAGUGCUGCAGACUCAUGGACACCACACCCUCUGUGCCCCCCGAGGGAGCGUGUCACCUGCCAGGAGGUCCCAGUUCCACGUGGGGGGCUCAGCCCCAGCCCCAGAGUGGAGCCUGGGCACAGGUGUGAGACCCCUGGCCCAGCUCACGCACCUGUACUCGGUUCCCAAACAGCAGCCACACGGCCACCACCCAGGACCAACGUGUCCUGUAGAGAAGGCAGGUCUGGAAUGUUCCAGAGCACAGCAGCCGGACGUGAAGGAAGAGAAAGUGAGGCUGCUGAGAAGACCCGUGUUCUUGGGCUGACCUCUGCUGGAGUAUGGCCAGGCCGUCUCUCUGGGCCUCCUGAGCCACAGUUAGGCAGCUGGUUUAUGAACCAUGAAGCAGGCUUUACUCAGUGGCCACAUCAGCUUCUGCUGGAAUUCACAAACUGGUGCAUCUUUCACAUCAUCCAACAAAGGGUCACCCGUCUGCUCUCUGCUUCGGAAAGAGGGCAACUGUCAGGUCCCGCCCUGUCUGCAGUGACGUCCAUCUCUGCUUUAACUGUGCUGCCCCUGUGGACGGCAGGGAGGGCUUUGCAUCCGCUGACGGGGCCUCAAUGGGAGGCCGCAUGCCUGCUUCUUAUUGCAAGGAAGAACCAAAACGAUCAGAAGGGCUCCAGCCUCCUCCCCCAGGCCCACCGUGCACCGUGGGGCAGCCUUGUGGGUCAGUCCGAGAGGACAGCCACAGCCCAGGGGUGUCGGCGACUUUCACAGGCUGCACUGCCAUCCCACGGCCUCCCACCCCGAUGUCUCUGGGAUCAUCCUGAGCGUUGUGAGCUACGCCCCUCGUCACAAACACACCCGUGUGCCACACAGGGCUCCCUCCAGAAGUGGCUGUGCAGGGAAACCCUGAGGCCCCCAUCUGCGCUGGCAUUUGCAGAGGUGACCCUGGCAGCCCCCUACUGUGUCCCGGGCAGGUCGGGUCACCUGCCCCCAGCACCAGCCUCUGCCACUUCAGUGGUGCCCACAGACCAGUGUCCCCCCUGCUCAGACAGCCCCAAUGUCUCUGGAAAUGUCACACCACGUGGUACAAGCCGCUUUCCAGCUUCUGGAGCCUCUCGGCCCCCUGUGAGCACAGACACCGAGCAGCUCCAACACCAGGAGGGCGGCGGCUGCCGGCGGGGAGGGACGCCACCGAUGGCGGUCACAGGCUGGAGACUCAGGGUGAUGGGAGAGAAAGGACGUGGUCACCAGCGAGGACCAGCCUCCCAGCGACAGCUGAGAUGGGGCUGUGAUGUGUCGACCUCCUUCAACCUCCACUGUGGAAGUUUCCGGCAGGUUGGAAGGGGGGUGAGAAGCAUGUUGAUUCCCUCCACCCCCCAGCCAGUCUACCCCAAUAGAAGAGCCCUCGAUGGGAAGGAGGGGAGAUGGGGCAAGUGGACAGGCAUGUGGACUCCCCACACAGGACCACGCAGGCCUGGUUCACAUCGUCAUCUGGACGGACGGGCAGCCUCACUGGUCAUGCACAGAAGCUUCCAGGACGGGGAGCGAGCUCUGGAGCCCCAAACCGGUCCAUCUGUUCCUGAGAGCCAGCGACAGCCCGGCAUGCAGGCUCUGGGCAGGAGGAAGGAUUCAGUUUCCGGGGAUGAGAAAGCAUGAACACUGUCACUGUCGCUUCUCACUUAAAAACCCAUAGUUUCAGCCUUAUGCUGUCGCCUCCUGGAUUCUUCGCAUUUCAACACCCCAUCAACCUGUUGAACUGAAUAAUGAGGCAGGUGUGGGAAGGGCUGUGUCUUCUGCAACGGACGGAGGGUUUGGAGUCGCUCCCUGACACAAUUGGGAAAAAGAAAACUAACCGAAUUGUGGAAAGGCCAGCCACUAUCACCGACUGCCUCUCAUCAUGAAGAAAUGCGUUUUCAGAGCAAGCCCACUUGUCACUGAGAAUGACUGACAGCCCACCCCAGAGGAUGCCUCCGGAACAGGGCUCCUGCGGUGCAGGGGGAGGCAUGACAGCGGCGCUCAGCAGUGGCACUGACAGCAGGUCCCCACCUUGUGCACCUGGUCGGGUAGCCUGCUGACGAGAGACAACUGCCACCUGUCCAGACGCAGAGCAGCUUUGAUCCAAGGCUUCAGAACAAAACUAUUUUAUAAGCAGGUUUAACCGUAC